CGGCUCGUCUCAUCCUGGGGCUGGAGUAGGUCCCAAGGGUUGGGCUGUUCGCCCAUUAAAGAGGCACGCGAGCUGGGUUCAGAACGUCGUGAGACAGUUCGGUCCCUAUCUUCUGUGCGCGCAGGAAACUUGAGAAGGGCUAACCCUAGUACGAGAGGACCGGGUUGGACGAACCUCUGGUGUGUCGGUUGUUCCGCCAGGAGCACCGCCGAUUUGCUACGUUCGGAAGGGAUAACCGCUGAAAGCAUCUAAGCGGGAAGCUCGCUUCGAGAUUAGGUUUCCCACUGGUUUACCAGGUAAGGCCCCCAGUAGACGACUGGGUUGAUAGGCCGGAAGUGGAAGAGUCGCAAGACUUGGAGCUGACCGGUACUAAUAGGCCGAGGAUUUAACUAC
rnacentral:rRNA from 1 species